GAGGUGGAUAUAGAGGUGGGUUGGAGCAAAAUUUGCUAUAAAAUAGAGUUUAGAGGAAGAAAUAGAGGGUGCAAUGAGGAUGCCCCUAAAAGGCGGACGCAUGUUCAGUUGAUAAAGCAACAGAAGAAAAUUUGAGUAAUCUGGUGAAGAUAGGAGAGAAGCUAUUGAAGAAAUCAGUGUCAAGAGUAAAUCUAGAAACGGGGUGCAAUGAGGAUGCCUACAAGACUACAAACGAGAAGGCUCUUAUCAAGUUAGCAGGAACCCUCUCUAAGAAGAAAAGACUUCGUGACAUUAGAUCUCCUCAUGAAAAACUUCCAAAGCGAAUAAAACAAACACCAUUUAGUUUUUAUCAUAUAACUUAUUGAAGACUAAAGAGAUCACAUGUACUAUAUCUUAGUAAGCUUAUGUAACACCCGUGUCUGAAAUUUUAGUGGUGUCGACCAACACUAGUGUUGGGUGUCGAUCGACACAAACAAAAUUGUGUUAGACAUUUUAGCUUUUAAACCGUCGGUUUAUUUGGAAUUGAUUGGAGGAAUCCUAGGCACGACUUUAAACUCGUGGAAGCAGCUUUUCCUUCUCACUUUUGGCUUUUGUCGCUUCUUGAAAUCAAAAGAGAGAGAGAGGGUUGUGAGUUGGUUGUUCCUAAAGCUUAAGGAGAGGCUUGUGAGGGUUUUUGGGGGUUUCUGGAGGCUGUUCUUCAGUGUUCUAGCAAGGGAUCAGUGGGAUUCGUGGCUGUGGGUGUGAAGAGAGGUUGUUGGAGUGUUCUUCUUCUCUGUUUCGUCCAUCCCUCCAAUCUAAAUCAGAGGUGAGUGUGUGACAAUGGCUUAUUUAAGCGUUAAGAUUGAAUGAUUUGUGUUUAUGUGAUGUGUGAAUUGAAUCCUUUGUAUUUGUGAUGUUUUCUGGUGUUUGUGUGGCCUUGUGUGACUGUUAUUGGGUUGUGUCAUCGUGGGAGGUGAUGUGAUGGUACUAUUAGGAUCCUUGGGUGGCUGAGAUCGUCGUUGGAUGCGUUUCAGGGUGUGGGUGUCGACCGACACCAGGUGGGUGUCAGUCGACACCAUUCGGAUGAUCGCAGUGCAGUUUGGUGGUGUCGACCGACACCAGAUUUCUGUAAAGUGUGACGUGGAAUCAUGGCAAUGAGGAGGAGGAUGAU